rnacentral:tRNA from 1 species
CGGAGAUUAGUUCAGUUGGUAGAACGCUCGGUUUGGGACCGAGAGGUCCGCGGUUCGAGUCCGCGAUCUCCGA